AGCGAACGCUGGCGGCAGGCUUAACACAUGCAAGUCGAGCGGGCCCUUCGGGGUCAGCGGCAGACGGGUGAGUAACACGUGGGAACGUACCCUUUGGUUCGGAAUAACGCUGGGAAACUAGCGCUAAUACCGGAUACGCCCUUUUGGGGAAAGGCUUGCUGCCGAAGGAUCGGCCCGCGUCUGAUUAGCUAGUUGGUGGGGUAAUGGCCUACCAAGGCGACGAUCAGUAGCUGGUCUGAGAGGAUGAUCAGCCACACUGGGACUGAGACACGGCCCAGACUCCUACGGGAGGCAGCAGUGGGGAAUAUUGGACAAUGGGCGCAAGCCUGAUCCAGCCAGGCCGCGUGAGUGAUGAAGGCCUGAGGGUUGUAAAGCUCUUGUGUCCGGGACGAUAAUGACGGUACCGGAAGAAUAAGCCCCGGCUAACUUCGUG
rnacentral:rRNA from 1 species